AAAUAAUUUUCUGUGAUUGUAUUCAAACUAAAAUGGGAUUAUAAUACAACCUUAAAAUUCAAUUUAAAUUCAUAAGUGAUGGCAUUCAGAUAAAAAUCUCAGUAAUGUUAAAACAUUAAAAAUUUUAUUGUAUUCUAAUUCUGUCAAAGGAAGAUGCUGUGUCAGCCUUUCUGUGACUAUGAGGGGAAUCAAUUCUGAAAUACUGAAGCAGACAGUAACAUUGACAGAGGGAAAGAGAUGAAGGCAACUAAGAAGCCUGUGACUGCCCUGCCUUCCGACUACUAAACAUAUGUAUGAUAAUCGGCUUUGGGUGUUAAAGCAGCUAGGCUUUCUUACACAAGCAAUGAUUGAAUUAAAGGCUAACAACAGUGAGAGCUUCACCAGAGCAGAUCUUGGGGAAUGUUCAUUGCAGCAUUAUUCACAAUAGCUAAAAUAAAAGGUCAACCUGAAUGUCCAUCCAUGGACAAACGAAUAAAGAAAAUGUGGUAUACAUACAAAAUAGAAUACCAUUCAGACUUUGGAAAAAGAAACCCUGUCAUUUGCAACAACAUAGAUAAACCUAGAGGGCAUUAUGACAUCAUUCAACUUGAGGAAAAGAACUGAACUAACCCAACUGAUGCGUUUGAGAGAAAAAACUGCACACAUGCAGGUGAACAACUUUUUCUCCCUCACUUGAGUGUCCGUCUGUCUAUGGACUAUGUCUUUUCUGCUUUUCUGUGCCAUUAGUUUUAGAGGACGGAUGGGUUGGCAGAUAGAUUACAAUUUUAGAUAGAAAGUUAAAUUCAAACAAGUGUUCAAAUUUUUUCCUUGGGCCAAGAAUAUAUUUUUUAAAAGAAGAGUUAUAGAAUUUGGGACAAUAGCUUUUAAACAGAAAUCGAAACGUUUUACAUGACAAAGGUGAGUGAAUUUAAACUCUAGUGGUGUUUCUUAAUGAUAAACCCCAAGCAAUUUCUUGAAUUUUAUUGCCUGUGAUUGCCUCUUUUGUACAGUAGGACUGCUUUUACUAUUGUGUGACAGACACCUGGGCAAUGUUGAUUGACAAUUGUCCAUGGAUUUCUUGCCUUUCUUCACAAUUUUGACAGUACUUAUUUCAGAAAAUCUGUUCAAAUAUGUUUGUAUAAAACAUAAUAUAAAUAUAGUUUUGGAAUAUAAAGGUAGUUCCUCCCUCUAGGAGACAGGGCAAAUCUAUUUGCUCUCUAGGAGACUAAAGACAAUGUCUCCCCCUGGGCAAAGACAGGGCACACAUGCCACUAGUCUUCUUAUAAAGUUGAAAGUGUUUUAAGCUGUGGUUUCACAACCAUGACACAAAUUUACUACGUGUGCAGCUCCUACUUGGGCCAUUUCUCAUCCUCCUGUGGGAGACGAAGUAAUGCAAACAUAAAACUCAUGUUGCCAGUGCCACGAGUGAUAAAGUCCUUUGUCUCUAACCUAGGAAUCUUGCUUCUUCUACCAGUAUCUAUGAAAUCAUGGAUGGUUAAUUUGUUAGCUCAUGGAGUGAAAUAUCAAACCAUUCUCAGAUCUUAAAGAAAGAGGCAUUAAGUCCUAGGUCAUAUGCUAUUUUGAUAUUUUGAUUGACAUUCUGAUGUCUAUAUUUACAGAAAAAUAUAUUUUAAAAAAUUCUAUUUAGAAGUUACAGUUUAACAAAAGGUCCAUAGGUUUCAGCAGAGCAAGUCUUUACAAACGGUCUGAAUAAGAUUAGAGAUCUCAGAAGCUAAGAAUGGUAUGGAAGGGCUAUAUUGGCAGCUUCAGACAAAUGAUAGGACUUUACAUUGAUAACUCGCUUCUGGUCACUUUUGCUAUGAAGAAUUCCUAUCCUAAUUUGCAAAUGAGGAUGGAGCAGCAUUAUAAAUCUUUAGUUCUAGGUGAGGAAAACCACCAAUGCUGCUAACCUGAAAGGCAGUUAAACUCUACUGGUGCUGCACAACUCGAAUGAGAUUCUAACUUUACAUCAUUAUUCUCAUUCAGUGUUGAUACAUCUGUCGACCCAAUUUUUUUUCUUAAAAUGACCUUCAGCGUCUAAGGAAGAAACUCUGGGAGUGACUGUCCUUGAAUUAAUGUAGUUUGUUCAAGUUUACUCUGUUCAUUUCAAGGCCCAUAAACAUAACAUUAGUUUUCUGAAAUGAAAAUUAUGACUUUAAUCAAAGAAUGGGAAAUACAUUUAAUAAUGAAUAUUUACAAAAAGUAUUUAUGAUAAGUUCUUCUUACAAAAGUACAAAACACCCUUUGUAAGGACAACUUAUCGUAUUGGAUUGAAGACCAACUUAUUAUAUUAGAUUUCACUGAAACUCCUAAGAUCUUUCUAGCCCUUGCCACUAAAUGCAUUGUUCAUGAAUCAUUGGUGCUAAUCAGGAUAUAUACACAUCCUCAUCUAUUUCUCAUACCACCAUCCAAGAAUUAAAAGUUGCAUAUUAUGAAAACUUUGGGGUAUUUUUUACUUGUGUUGCAAGUUUGACAAAUACAGCCUUAAUAGAGCCUACAUUGUUCCUGGGAAUUAGGAUUGCUGUGAAAAAUCAAAGAUAAGCUAAAGUGUUUUGAAAAAUGCUUCUUAUCAGCAAAGGAGCAGUUGAAAA